rnacentral:rRNA from 1 species
UGGGGAAUAUUGCACAAUGGGCGCAAGCCUGAUGCAGCCAUGCCGCGUGUAUGAAGAAGGCCUUCGGGUUGUAAAGUACUUUCAGCAAGGAGGAAGGCGUUGUGGUUAAUAACCGCAACGAUUGACGUUACUCGCAGAAGAAGCACCGGCUAACUCCGUGCCAGCAGCCGCGGUAAUACGGAGGGUGCAAGCGUUAAUCGGAAUUACUGGGCGUAAAGCGCACGCAGGCGGUUUGUCAAGUCGGAUGUGAAAUCCCCGGGCUCAACCUGGGAACUGCAUCCGAAACUGGCAGGCUAGAGUCUUGUAGAGGGGGGUAGAAUUCCAGGUGUAGCGGUGAAAUGCGUAGAGAUCUGGAGGAAUACCGGUGGCGAAGGCGGCCCCCUGGACAAAGACUGACGCUCAGGUGCGAAAGCGUGGGGAGCAAACA